CCUACGGGAGGCAGCAGUGGGGGAUAUUGCACAAUGGGGGGAACCCUGAUGCAGCGACGCCGCGUGGGUGAAGAAGCGCCUCGGCGCGUAAAGCCCUGUCAGCAGGGAAGAAAAUGACGGUACCUGAAGAAGAAGCCCCGGCGAACCACGGGCCAGCAGCCGCGGGAAGACGUAGGGGGCAAGCGUUAUCCGGAUUGACUGGGUGGAAAGGGGGCGCAGCCGGCGGUGCAAGCCAGGAGUGAAAGCCCGGGGCCCAACCCCGGGACUGCUCUUGUAACUGCGUGGCUGGAGUGCAGGAGGGGCAGGCGGACUUCCUGGUGUAGCGGUGAAAUGCGUAGAUAUCAGGAGGAACACCGGUGGCGAAGGCGGCCUGCUGGACUGCAACUGACGUUGCUGCCC
rnacentral:rRNA from 1 species